rnacentral:misc_RNA from 1 species
GUGUGUAUGCGAGGGAGUAAGUGGGAAAGAGCAAGAGCAGGCGUGAGAGCAGAGCACCCCUCCUAAUGUCGCUAGACAAGCACCGCGAAUCCUCUCUACGCCCUAGCCUUCUCCCUCCCGCCGCAUGAAUGGGAGCGAGCGUAGGUUUUGAGCACGAUCAUGCACUGCACUCAAUAGAUUUUCGCUCUAAAGCUCUUCGCUCUCGCUCAACUAGUUUCGUGAGUAGUUUCUGUGUGGUUUCUAUUUGAGCGCUUUCUCUAUCUCUCCGAUACUCUCCUAUUCGUGUAUCUAGCGCUCUCGAGUGCUGGAAAACUAGCAAUGUAAGUUUUCGAGCUGAGUCGCGCUGCUCGGCAAAAUAGUUUCGUCGCUAGAUCACGGUGCGGCAUUUUCCAGCGCCGUUUAGUUUUGAGUGUGACUCGUCGGGCUUUGGAUCUGUUCCGCGGACAUGGACGUCCCAUGUCCCAUAUGGACUCCUUCUCGUUGGAGUUCCUUUUUAGUCUUUUGUUUUAUGCCUGUGCCUGUGCCUGUGCUUGUGAUUGUGGCCGGUACCCCCACCCCACCCCAUCCGAAGGGGAAGGGGAAGUGGGUGAUUUGUGUUUUUUUCGAGCGCGUUUGCUGUCGUCAUCGGCUGCGUCGCCGCUGCUGCAGCCGUUGCUCGGGGCUUUGAACUGUGGCUGGCGCGUUCAACGGCUUCUCCGCCUGUCGUCGGGAAGCGUGUAACUCCGAAACGAACCGUUCCGUUCGUUCCAUUAUCGCUCGAGCGAGCGAGCCGCCUGAUAGCCGUCGUCCCCCUGGUCGCCCGCUUCCAAUCAGUCAAUUGUCGUCCCUCUCCUCCUCCCCCUCCCCCUCCCCGUCUCCCACUAAUGAACAUUGAACUGCAAAUUGCAAAAACGUACCAAAAUAACAAACAAACGACGUUGUCGCUGACUGCUCUAGCGGGACUACCUCCUCUUCGCGCUCGUCUGAUUGCUCGUGGGGAUGGGGUACAUUAACCUUGCGUCCAAAACUCUCUGCUGCUGCUACUCCCACUCGUCUCGCUAUCGAUGUCUUCUAUCUGUCAGAGAUCACUUGCCUCGUCUCGGCUCGCCUGCUGCUCUCCUCCUGCUGCUGACUGGCUACUCCUUGCCACCCAUGUCGCCCCUCCUGGCAGGAUGCGGCAGAGGCGCGGUGGUGGGGCAGGCCCCAAAACAAAACGUUGGCGAACGAAGGAGAACAGAACGCUACAAAAAUGUGUGUGGCAACAUCUUUAACGUGGCUACAAUGGCGUUGGGCAUAGAAUUAUUACUCUGACUGUGGGCUCCUGGCUCCUGGCUCCUGGCUGCUGGUGUCUAUGCUUCCAGGACUCGUGCCUGUGAGCUUCAGCUUCAGCUGCUGCCUGCCGCUUGGAUGGGGCAUUGUUGUAGGCGUAGGCAGCAGCAACAGGACCCAGGACCCAGGACUCAGGACUCUGGACGGAGGAUGAGGAUGAGGAAGCUGGCAACUAAACCCCAGAUGGCGCACUACACAAAGUUAUGAUAUAAUUUGGAUUUCUUUUCGCUAAAUUGCUUGUACCAACAAUAAAUAUGUAUUUAUGUUCACUGGGUCCUGGGUGCUGGGUGCUGGGUGCUGGGUGCUGGGUUCUCGGUUCUCGGUCCUUUGGUCCUGGCUUUGUGUGCGUCUAUCCUCCUGUUCCUCCUGCUUGCUACCACCCCACCAUAAAAGCUCCACUUGAUCUUCCUCCCCGGGUUCCCAAGGCCGGGACAAGGCUCUAUAGCGCUCUAUAUUUAUACGAGGAAUGC